rnacentral:rRNA from 1 species
GACGAACGCUGGCGGCGUGCUUAACACAUGCAAGUCGAACGGAAAGGCCCUGCUUUUGUGGGGUGCUCGAGUGGCGAACGGGUGAGUAACACGUGAGUAACCUGCCCUUGACUUUGGGAUAACUUCAGGAAACUGGGGCUAAUACCGGAUAGGAGCUCCUGCUGCAUGGUGGGGGUUGGAAAGUUUCGGCGGUUGGGGAUGGACUCGCGGCUUAUCAGCUUGUUGGUGGGGUAGUGGCUUACCAAGGCUUUGACGGGUAGCCGGCCUGAGAGGGUGACCGGCCACAUUGGGACUGAGAUACGGCCCAGACUCCUACGGGAGGCAGCAGUGGGGAAUAUUGCACAAUGGGCGGAAGCCUAAUGCAGCAACGCCGCGUGCGGGAUGACGGCCUUCGGGUUGUAAACCGCUUUCGCCUGUGACGAAGCGUGAGUGACGGUAAUGGGUAAAGAAGCACCGGCUAACUACGUGCCAGCAGCCGCGGUGAUACGUAGGGUGCGAGCGUUGUCCGGAUUUAUUGGGCGUAAAGGGCUCGUAGGUGGUUGAUCGCGUCGGAAGUGUAAUCUUGGGGCUUAACCCUGAGCGUGCUUUCGAUACGGGUUGACUUGAGGAAGGUAGGGGAGAAUGGAAUUCCUGGUGGAGCGGUGGAAUGCGCAGAUAUCAGGAGGAACACCAGUGGCGAAGGCGGUUCUCUGGGCCUUUCCUGACGCUGAGGAGCGAAAGCGUGGGGAGCGAACAGGCUUAGAUACCCUGGUAGUCCACGCUGUAAACGGUGGGUACUAGGUGUGGGGUCCAUUCCACGGGUUCCGUGCCGUAGCUAACGCUUUAAGUACCCCGCCUGGGGAGUACGGCCGCAAGGCUAAAACUCAAAGGAAUUGACGGGGCCCCGCACAAGCGGCGGAGCAUGCGGAUUAAUUCGAUGCAACGCGUAGAACCUUACCUGGGUUUGACAUGGAUCGGGAGUGCUCAGAGAUGGGUGUGCCUCUUUUGGGGUCGGUUCACAGGUGGUGCAUGGCUGUCGUCAGCUCGUGUCGUGAGAUGUUGGGUUAAGUCCCGCAACGAGCGCAACCCUUGUUCACUGUUGCCAGCACGUUAUGGUGGGGACUCAGUGGAGACCGCCGGGGUCAACUCGGAGGAAGGUGGGGAUGACGUCAAGUCAUCAUGCCCCUUAUGUCCAGGGCUUCACGCAUGCUACAAUGGCUGGUACAGAGAGUGGCGAGCCUGUGAGGGUGAGCGAAUCUCGGAAAGCCGGUCUCAGUUCGGAUUGGGGUCUGCAACUCGACCUCAUGAAGUCGGAGUCGCUAGUAAUCGCAGAUCAGCAACGCUGCGGUGAAUACGUUCCCGGG